rnacentral:rRNA from 1 species
GAUGAACGCUGGCGGCGUGCCUAAUACAUGCAAGUCGAGCGAACGGACGAGAAGCUUGCUUCUCUGAUGUUAGCGGCGGACGGGUGAGUAACACGUGGAUAACCUACCUAUAAGACUGGGAUAACUUCGGGAAACCGGAGCUAAUACCGGAUAAUAUUUUGAACCGCAUGAUUCAAAAGUGAAAGACGGUCUUGCUGUCACUUAUAGAUGGAUCCGCGCUGCAUUAGCUAGUUGGUAAGGUAACGGCUUACCAAGGCAACGAUGCAUAGCCGACACGAGAGGGUGAUCGGCCACACUGGAACUGAGACACGGUCCAGACUCCUACGGGAGGCAGCAGUAGGGACUCUUCCGCAAUGGGCGAAAGCCUGACGGAGCAACGCCGCGUGAGUGAUGAAGGUCUUCGGAUCGUAAAACUCUGUUAUUAGGGAAGAACAUAUGUGUAAGUAACUGUGCACAUCUUGACGGUACCUAAUCAGAAAGCCACGGCUAACUACGUG